rnacentral:rRNA from 1 species
AGCAGUCGCCACGGUAAUACGUAGGUGGCAAGCGUUGUCCGGAAUUAUUGGGCGUAAAGCGCGCGCAGGCGGAUCAGUCAGUCUGUCUUAAAAGUUCGGGGCUUAACCCCGUGAGGGGAUGGAAACUGCUGAUCUAGAGUAUCGGAGAGGAAAGUGGAAUUCCUAGUGUAGCGGUGAAAUGCGUAGAUAUUAGGAAGAACACCAGUGGCGAAGGCGACUUUCUGGACGAAAACUGACGCUGAGGCGCGGAAGCCAGGGGAGCGAACGGGAUUAGAUACCCCCGUAGUCCCUGUCUCUUAUACA